GCCUGAGUGGCUCAGUUGGUUAAGCGUCCGACUUCGGCUCAGGUCAUGAUCUUGCGGUUUGUGGGUUUGAGCCCCACAUCGGGCU
rnacentral:tRNA from 1 species